rnacentral:rRNA from 1 species
ACACGGACCAAGGAGUGCAACACGCGUGCGAGUCCUUGGGUGUCAGACCCGUCGGCGCAAUGAGAGUAAAGGCGGACGCCUGGUCCGCCGAGGCAGGAGCCGUCCCAAACGGUCGGCCCACUGUUGACCGAUCCCGUUCCACGCUGUGGUGGGAUUCGAGUGAGAGCGUGCCUGUUGCGACCCGAAAGAUGGUGAACUAUGCCUGAAUAGGGYGAAGCCAGAGGAAACUCUGGUGGAAGCUCGCAGCGGUUCUGACGUGCAAAUCGAUCGUCAAAUUUGGGUAUAGGGGCGAAAGACUAAUCGAACCAUCUAGUAGCUGGUUCCCUCCGAAGUUUCCCUCAGGAUAGCUGGAGCCCGGAGCAGUUUUAUCAGGUAAAGCGAAUGAUUAGAGGUCUUGGGGUUGAAACAACCUCAACCUAUUCUCAAACUUUAAAUGGGUAAGAAGUCCGGCUUGCUCGGUUGAAGUCGGACGGUGGAAUGCCGGGGCUCCCAGUGGGCCAUUUUUGGUAAGCAGAACUGGCGAUGCGGGAUGAACCGAACGCCGGGUUAAGGUGCCCGAAUCGACGCUCAUCAGAUCCCAUGAAAGGUGUUGGUUGAUCUAGACAGCAGGACGGUGGCCAUGGAAGUCGGAAUCCGCUAAGGAGUGUGUAACAACU